UAUGCUUGUCUCAAAGAUUAAGCCAUGCAUGUCUAAGUUCAAGCGAAAAUAAAGUGAAACCGCGAAUGGCUCAUUACAUCAGUUAUGGUUCCUUAGAUCGCACUUACUACUUGGAUAACUGUGGUAAUUCUAGAGCUAAUACAUGCGCUGGGCCCCAACCCUCGCGGAAGGGGCGCUUUUAUUAGAUCAAAGCCAAUCGGGCCUUCGGGCUCGUUAACUUGGUGACUCUGAAUAACUUUGCUGAUCGCACGGUCUCGCACCGGCGACGUAUCUUUCAAGUGUCUGCCUUAUCAACUGUCGAUGGUAGGUUAUGCGCCUACCAUGGUGGUAACGGGUAACGGGGAAUUAGGGUUCGAUUCCGGAGAGGGAGCCUGAGAAACGGCUACCACAUCCAAGGAAGGCAGCAGGCGCGCAAAUUACCCACUCCCAGCUCGGGGAGGUAGUGACGAAAAAUAACGAUACGGAACUCUUAUGAGGCUCCGUAAUCGGAAUGAGUACACUUUAAAUCCUUUAACGAGGAUCUAUUGGAGGGCAAGUCUGGUGCCAGCAGCCGCGGUAAUUCCAGCUCCAAUAGCGUAUAUUAAUGUUGUUGCGGUUAAAAAGCUCGUAGUUGGAUCUCGUUUCGGGCGAGCGGUGCGCCUUGCGGCGUCUACUGUUUGCCCGGACGAUUUUGCUGGUUCGUUCCUGGUUCUCUUUACCGAGUGCCAGGAGUGGCCAGCACGUUUACUUUGAAAAAAUUGGAGUGCUCAAAGCAGGCUCUACAGCCUGAACAUUAGUGCAUGAAAUAAUGGAAUAGGACCUCGGUUCUAUUUCGUUGGCUUUCGGAGUCGAGGUAAUGAUUAAUAGGGACAGACGGGGGCAUUCGUACUGCGACGUUAGAGGUGAAAUUCUUGGAUCGUCGCAAGACGAACUACUGCGAAAGCAUUUGCCAAGAAUGUUUUCAUUAAUCAAGAACGAAAGUUAGAGGUUCGAAGGCGAUCAGAUACCGCCCUAGUUCUAACCAUAAACGAUGUCGACUGGCGAUCCGCUAUCGUUAACUGAAAGACUUAGCGGGCAGCCUCCGGGAAACCAAAGUGUUUGGAUUCUGGGGGGAGUAUGACUGCAAAAUUGAAACUUAAAAGAAUUGACGGAAGGGCACCACCAGGAGUGGAGCCUGCGGCUUAAUUUGACGCAACACGGGAAAUCUCACCAGGCCCGGACACCGGUAGGAUUGACAGAUUGAGAGCUCUUUCUUGAUUCGGUGGGUGGUGGUGCAUGGCCGUUCUUAGUUGGUGGAGCGAUUUGUCUGGUU
rnacentral:rRNA from 1 species